ACAUGUAUGAAAAUGAACUUUUAGGAAGAUCAACGUAAGCCCCUAUGAUCGCCUCGAGACGUACUUAUAGAAACUCAGUCUUUGCCUCUAAAACAUUGUUGGGCAUAAAUAAGAUGAGUCCUCUAGGAGUUGUUACAAGCUAAAUCAAUCACACUGAUAACUCCAAGGUGAUUUAUAGCUUCAACACUUAAUUUUGUAUAGUUUGGUAUUUCACCAAUUGCUAAGCUAGUACAAUACUAUAAGAGGCAGUUCUAUUAAUUAUACCAUCUCUUUUAGUAGUUAAAGAACUAAAUAGAAAAUUUGAAACAAAAAGUUAAUUUCUGGCCUUAGUUUCCUUUUAUUAUCAGGCAGUAGGCAUUAGAGGCAGAACAGUGGGCUUUGCACUUUGAAGUCACUCCUGGUUUCGUUGUUGUCCCUAGUUCGUCACUCCGAGAGAGGUACAACUCUUUACCUUUAAUUUUUUCUUGUUUGUUUCAGACCAAGAGUGUUAUGCGUUGUUGUGACUGAAAUAGUGAGCUGCUAGUUUGUAUCAGUUUCUUAGUUGAUAUGAUUUGAUAUGUUUUCUUAAAGUUAACUGAGUCUCCUUUUAGUUUGUUCAAGAUUGUCUGUAGUUCAUUUAGUCGCGAUUUUAAGUGUGCCUGCUAUGUGUUCUGGGUUCUCGAAAUGGGGCUGUAAAAUCUGGUUGUUUACCUUUCUCUUCCAAGUGUGGCUUAGUUCUCUUUUGAGCAUCUUUUAACUUACUCGUUGUAUAUCUCCGUCUGAUUGUUCUCAAAUGCUAUCUAAUGCUAUGAGGCUUCAAGUUCUAAUGUUCAAUUUGAUAAAAAAUAGUUUGUCUAGGUCCUGAUUUUGUUUGAAUUUAUUUUAGUACAACUUGUAUGGACUACAUAUUGUAAGCAAGUGAGAUAGUAUACUCAGAAACUAUUUUGUCGCAUUAAAGUAACCGAACUUUACACACUAUAUAAGUUACUUUUAAAAAGUUAGUUUUUGACUUACCCUCUAGAGUACAACUGAUCACCAAGAAUUAGAAAAUCCAUGACAACAACUUAUGUUGUUUGCAUAGGCUGCCACUGCUCAUUUGAAUGGUUGUACAGGUUAUAGAAUCAGUUUAGUUGUGGCUCCAGCUUCCCUGCUAGGAUAUUGUGUCUGUACAGGUUAUAGAAUCUGUUUACAGUAUAUACAGUGUUGGAAGUUCUGGAAAUUCUGGAAACUCAGCUGCUGCAAUAUUAUACAGUGUUGGAAAUUCUGGAAACUCAACUGCUGCAAUAUUAUACAGUGCUGGAAAUUCUAGAAAUUCUGGAAACUCAGCUACUGCAAUAUUAUACAGUGCUGGAAAUUCUGGAAACUCAGUUGUUGAGCUAUAAUACAGUGCUGGAAAUUCUGGAAAGAGUUGAGCUUUUCUAUAACUUCUAAAGAGUUGGUGUGUGAGUUCUGCAGAUGCACAGGACAUAGAAGGACAAUGUUUCAAACUAAUAAGCUAUCCACCUGACUUCAAGUCUAAGAAAAAAAAUCUUUGAAAAUUACUUUUUUUUUUGUUUUUCUUCUAGUUGAGCUGGUGUUCUUGGUAAAGAAAUUCUGAUUUUUUUUACUAUCUUGAAUCUUUGAAAGCUCAGUCUGUACUUUGUUUUUUGUCACUCAUUGUCUCCUUUCAGCUUAUAUACCUAGAAAAGUUUAUAUUUUUAGUUGUAUGAGUGUUGUAUUGUGUUGAAGGAGGACUCUAGUGAUUUUGGGUUGUAGUUGUGUACUUUUUUCCCCUGUUAUUUUUCUGCUUUGAACUGUGAUGGUUGUUGUGAGAGAUGGUUUUGGUUUUCAUUGCUUAAACUGAUUCUCAUAGUUAAAGCUAUCCCUUUUAGAUUUCUUGGAAGGUUAAAGCUGUCCCUUUUAGCUUUUUCUGGUGUUGCAAUAAAGCUAUUUAGAUUUUUUAUGCUUGUGCUUUGUUUUGUUUCUGCAAUGGGGUAGCUUCCUUCCCAGGAUAUUUUUGCCCUGCUUGAGUAUAUACAGGUACAACUGGUUAUGUACUGUAGUCAUGAAAUGCAGAAUGGGUUAUACAGGUUAUACCAUAGAGGGGUCAGGGCAUUGGGUUUAUGUAAACGGUAAAGUGUAGCCUACAUAUAUACAAUCAUCAUGUAUAACUUAUGUAUAAAAUAUUCCAAAUUAUUUCAUCAGGUAAAUAGUAAUUUACAACAAAUAGGCAAUGAAGCCAGAUGCCUGUUCUAUAUGAUUUGGAUUGGUUGGCUUAUAGUGAAUACUCUCCAAUUAUGCACUUCCAAAUACAUGAUUUAUUUCACUAACUUAUAAUUUUAUUUCGAAUGUGCAGGAAAAUGCCGGUAAUUGAAUUUGAAUUGUGGCUAGAAGUAAACUCGAUCUAUUGUAGUGAACGACGAAGAGUUUUUG
rnacentral:lncRNA from 1 species